UGUGUGUACGUAUACGAUCAGAAGAAGUAGCCAGGAGAGCUCAAACCCUAGUUCAGCAAAUCCUCCAAAUCGAAGCUCAAAUCAAGCCCGAAUCGUCUGCAUGAUUACAAAUUCGUGAUCGCCUAGUCGUGGGGAUCAUAAGGUGUACCUUAUAUGCUUGCGAAGUUGACUCUAAACAAGCUAGGUGGGAGCUUGAAAAGGAACGGGUCAAACGGAUCAUGGAUGCGAAGAAUGUUUGCGCGGACGCGAGGUAAGUAA
rnacentral:lncRNA from 1 species